CACCCAGCUAAUUCACCCAGCUGCUCCCUUCGCGAAGCAUCCGCCACUGCAUAGGUCGCCGCCGUCGCGCCGCCGCCUCCUGACCUGCGCCGCACUUCCGCCGUCGCGGCGCAGCUCCGCCGGUACACCCCCCUCCGCCUCCUUCUCCUCCGCCUUCCGCCGCCGCUUCCGCGACCUCCACCUUCAUCCCACCCCGAUGCUGGGCUUCCUCUGCAACGAAGUGCCUCGCACCGACGACGCCUGCUCCGCUCGCUUCGUCCACACCGCGGCCUGGUCCCCGCCCAUCGCUGCCGGACGCGGCUAGCACGCGCUCGACGCCCGCGCCGGACGCGUCCUCCUCCAACGUGACCCCGCCUCGAUGUCUAGGACCUGCUCGCCGGCGGCGACCGCGGCCACAACAACUUGCCCGCCCCGGGCUGCUGCGGCGCACGCGGAGCACGAACGUCGCGCCGCUCUGCGAGGACGGCUCGGACGGGCUCUUCCGCGUCGUCCUCGUGGGCACGGACGCCGAGGGGACCUCCCCUGUGCAGCUCGCCCAAUAGCGCAGCUCCCGCGGGUCACCUGCCCUCGCGUGGCCUCCUGCGCCGCCGCGACUGAUGGUCUGCCCUAAGACAGAUGCAUAGAUCUGCUAUUAUAUUGUGCUACAUUGAUUUUUUGUUUGCGAGGUUCACUAUGUUUGCCUUACAACCUGCGGCCUAAGAUUGUGCAUCCGUAACCUAUCACAUGUUCUUCAAUUAUGGAGAUGAAGAACCCUCGUCUCCCCUUGCAUGUUCGUACAAACCUCCUCCUCUCACCUAUUGCCGCUAUUCCCUCUCUCUGCAAUGGAAUCCGAGGUACCCCUCUCUCCAGGAAAUCCAAUGGUAUUCGAGCAAAAUUUCUUUUUAAGCAUCGAAGGUAUUUUACAGAUCCUCUGCAGCAAGUUUGUUUCCCCCCGCUUAUGUGACUAACUGAAUAAAUACAUAAGUUUUUGGCAUCCCUGACCUCGAUCUGUUAUUACUGCCACUAAAAGAAGAAUGCUAAAUUUCAUUUCCCAGCGAAUGUAAAGGUAUGUUAUGCUUCUAUGACAUUUUCACUAGGUCAGGUAAAUCCAUGAUUGAUUAUGUAGGAGUUGAUCCCUUCUUUCCUAUAAUAGGCACUCUAUCCCAGAGAAUACCUCAUAGAGGAACACUGCUUUCAUAGAGAAAUCUCUGUUUUUCCUAAACUGGUCCUUCAAUUUCUUCUUCUCCUUCUCCUGUUGCAAGCUUCAAGCCUAUACCCCUACGGAAAAGAGAAGCUUGCUGGUUGUGCCAGAUAGCAUUCUUGUCAGUUGUUGGAAGACAAGCAACCUUUCCAAGGUCUUCUCCUCCCAUCCAUUGUGUCUUCCAACACUAUUCCAAUUCUAAAAUUAUGCCAUUUAAUAUCGUUGCUCCUACUCCAUUUUCUUGACUCAGAUGUUCAGUGAACAGAUCUCACCAUAAGUUCCCAUUCUCAAAAGUAAUAUUGAUUCUGUCAGAUACUAUACCCUGCCACACAUUUCCAAGGCCUGAUUACCAUCUCACUGAUAAAUUAAACCUAAACACUCUGUUUUUGCCCUCAUUUUUACAGGCCCAAAACAAGUGUAGCGGGAAGCAAUUGAAAGAGGUGAAAUUACUAUCGGAAUGGUAACUGGUAAUGCCAUUCAACUUCCUGCACUGGAGGUAGCACCACCUAUCUUGGGUUCCUCUCUUAGCUUCAUAGUUGCAGUGCCAAUAUAGGACCUCCUAAACAAACCAUUCCAGCUUCUCAUCUCCGUCUACAUAGCAUCGUUGACUGUUAUUAUAUGGAAAAGGAUCUUGCCUUAAUCUGCUCCCAAUACCGCGCCAAACCAAUAAAAAUGCCUAAUUGGAUAGUAGCUGCACCGGUGUUUCUAGCCAACUAUUUGCCACGACAGAUGCUAAGAGCUAAACGCUUACUUCAGUUCAUACUAACAAACUAAUUGGAUAUGACAUACAAAUAGAGAUUAGGCACAGAGACAUGUUUGCUCCCAAUUCUUGAAAGGGAUGAAUAUAUCAUUGUGACUUAAAUAAGUUAUUACAAGUAAUAAAUUUCUUAUCAAAUUCCUAGCAGAGCUAUUUCUCUAAAUCUUUAAUGAUAAUGUACAUGUCUCUAAAAAAUAAGGCAGUGUUCACUAUUCGUACUAUGUUAUGUGUGUGUUUUUUUGGUCCUCCAAAAGGACCUUGAGAGAUAGUGUCUUCAUGCUGCUUAAGACAUUAUCAGGUACCAAGAGUUACUUUUCUUGAUCCUGUUGUUGCUUGCUCAUGCCUUUUCUUAUUUUCAUGUUUCAUUCUUUGGGUUGGCAUUCCCGUGGGCCAUGCUAAAAGGGCAAAAAAAGAAAUACCAGGCCUAAUACGUAAUCCACCUACACGUUAGCAACCUAUUGUUAUCUAACUUCCACAUUUGAGAUUAUAAAUUAUAUUGAGUUAUAGCCCUGUUACUUUUGAUGAAUUUCACUAUGCACUUAUUGUCUGAAUACAAAAAAUAGAGAGCCUUACAGUGUUGUGCAAUUUUGGCUCUUUUGGGUGACCCAUGUUCGUGUGUGGCAAAGGACAAGGAGCAAGGAUUUAACAGCUUUAACUUUGUAAGCUUUUCCCUCCCUUCUUUUCUGGUAUAUCAUUCUAUUUUUAUAUGCAUACUUCCCCUACGGCUCAAGUAUAAUACAUAUGAACCACGUUACAUGCUAUGCAAUUAUAUUGCUUUUGUGAAAUUUAUGUGGAAAAAUUAUGUUUUGUGAAGGGAAAAAAAAGUGGUCUGAGAUUGAACUUGAGGGGGAUACAUGCAAAAAAAAAAAGCCUCAGGGGCGCUGCCAAACAACUUCUAUAAAAAAAAAGCAUGUCUCUUUCAGUUGAAUUCAAGAAAUGAUAUGCUCCCAGUCUUUAUUGUCAAAACCCAAAAGGAAAAUCAUGUUACUUCCUAGAGCACUAAUAAGUAUGACCUUAUUACAAGUAAGCAUCACACUUAUUCUGUUACCUUUUCCAGAAGCACACCUAAACUGAUGUCCUAUAUUUCUAAAUUUAAAUAGCCUGCAGGAAACCAUGUGUAACAAAUGCUUUACAAAAGCAACUAGAGACUCCAGGAACUUCAUAAUCCAAUUUCCCAGGUACCAACAUAACAUUUCAGUGUAGCAUCUUUGUAACUAUUUGUAGUUCUGUAUUUAAACUUAUAGGUAAAGACAAUUCUCCAUAAAAGCUAUUACAUUCUAGAACACUGGCCAAACGACACACUAUUCUCUAAAAAAAUGCAAAGCUUGAAGAUUGCUCUGGUAUUUUUUUUUUUCACUCCACCAACUGCAGCAGUGCUACGGUUAAAUGGAACUGAACUAAGCAGUCCAACUGAGAAUUCCUGGAUUGGUUUAUGGAAACGUUUGACCCCAAGAAAACAGUGUAUGUCUGAUGUUCGAUAUUGUACCGUUUCUUUGUCUUCUAUGACUAUUGCAUAAUGUAACAAUAAACAUGGCCAGCCAGCUUGAUCAGGGCCUUGAAUUGAGAUGGGAGCAAAUGUGUCAAUUUCAUUCUUAAUCAAUAUUUCUUUGUGCUUUAUGUACCAAAAGUUCUUCAACUCCUGCUGAAGACCCUCUAAAACUAGAGGAAUGCCGCCUUUCUGGGAAGUAUCUUUUAGAAUUGCUAAAGAUAGACUUCAAGCCUAGGGACAUUAUCACCAAGAAGUCAUUGCGGAAUGCAAUGGUUAUUGUCAUGGCUCUUGGUGGGUCAACUAAUGAUGUACUGCAUUUGAUUGCCAUUGCUCGGUUGGUUGUUGCCCAACUCUAUCACAUGUGCUUAUUUUAUUAGUACACCAAAGCUUAUUUGUUACUCAUUAUGAUCUUAAGAUUACAUUUCAACUGUGUAGAAGCAUUUAUGCAAAUGAAAAAAGCUGAUUAACUUGCUACUGAUGCUGCAGGGGAAAAAAUAAUUUGAUUCCAGCUACAACAUCUCCAUCUUCGUAAGAAAACAGAACCGGAGGACUACUUCCCGUGCGAACAAGCAAACUCCAUACACUUAAUCUUCUUAAUCUUACCUUUUUGGAAUUAACGUCAUAUACUCCUAUGUAUCCAUCUUCCAAUAACAAAAGGAAACUUUAUGCUCCGUAUGCUUUGGUUGCUUUAAUAGAUUAAUUUCUUUGGCGCAGAAAACAGAACCAGAGGACUCCUUCCCGUGCAAACAAGCAAACUCCAUACACUUAAUCUUCUUAAUCUUGCCUUUCUUGAAUUAACGUCAUAUACUCCUAUGUAUCCAUCUUCCAAUAACAAAAGGAAACUUUAUGGUCAUAUACUCCUAUGUAUCCAUCUUCCAAUAACAAAAGGAAACUUUAUGCUCCGUA